rnacentral:sRNA from 1 species
UUGGGAGCUCACUGGCUUCGGGUUCCGUCGGAACUCCGAAGUUAAGCAAGAAGAAGGCCAGAGCACUCCCAGGAUGGGUGACCCACUAGGAAGUUGCUCGUAAGUUCCCAAAAACAAAACCGUGAGGGAAUGGUAAACCUAAAGCGGACAAUAUCGUGCUACGGUGGUGAAGAUGGCCCGGGAAGUGAUCUGCCCCGGGUCUGGAUGUGACAAAUGGUAUCAGAGCCAAUCCCUGGCCGGACGUGUGCCGACGAGGACGUCGGGCCCCUAAGGGGGUGGAUUGUAACAUCCCACAUCGCCCAGGGGAGUGAUCCUUAAAUUUAUAUUCCCAUCCCUACCUAGCACGAGGCUUUUUGGGAGCUCACUGGCUUCGGGUUCCGUCGGAACUCCGAAGUUAAGCGAGAAGAAAGCCAGAGCACUCCCAGGAUGGGUGACCCACUGGGAAGUUGCUCGUGAGUUCCCAAA